UUCCGUUUAGGGUCUAAUUGUAGCUGUUCUCUACUGUUUCCUCAACAGUGAGGUUCAGAGUGAGCUGAGGAGGACAUGGAAGUGUUUUUCUGUAAAGCGCUGCGUGGGACAGGACUUCAGGCUCCACAGCGUGAACCAAAAUGAUGGGCUACUGCAGCAGAAGAAGACCACACCUGAUGGCACUCCUGUCAGCUAAGAACAGGAAACUGAGGCUAUAUUUCUCACGGGUUCACCAAACGUGGACAACAGAAGAUUGGAAAAAUGUUGCCUGAUCUGAUGAGUCUCGAUU